UAAUUCAAUAAAUAAGUACAUCUACAUGUCCAAGCAGGAAUUGAGGAUGAACAAAUUCUUGGUUUAAUCCACCCAAAAAAUGUAAUGUUUGCCUUAGCAGGAUAUAUGCCUGCUAUGUCCUGGAGUUUAUGCCCCCCAGUGUGCCACACGUGCAUAAAUGUGCACCAAGGGACACUGGCUUGCAACAGAGGGCAAAGAAAGAAGAAAAAUAUGUAAAUGAAAUCACAAAUAUGUAUUAAUAGGUGCAUUCAGUGAGACAGAUUGCAACCACUGAUUAAAACAUGAAGUCACCCAACGGCUGAGUGAGUAGCCUUCCUGAUAUGUGCGCCACUUGAGGUCUGCUCUGGGAAAUUCAAAACCCCUCCCUACUGGUCCAAGAUUGGUCACAUGGGUGUAUGACGUAUUGAAAGGUAUAAAAACCUACCAUAAACAUAAUUUCAGUCUUUCGAAAGUAUGUAGUGCAGAGAAUAUGUAUCCGGCAGAAUAUAUAUUUUUUGUUUUGGGGGUAACUAUUUGCAUCAACUCGUAGCAAAAUGCUUCAAAGACACUCUACGAACUCCAGUGUCGACCAGCCACCGUGAGUGUAAAUUGUAAGUGACCACUGUUAGCCGUGCUGAAGUAGCUAGUUGGCUAACUGCUAGCCACAUGGCAAGCUAACGUUAGCUAACUUUCUAACCAGAAGUCUAGGCCUGGCCUGUUUAAAUAACAUUCUAGAGCCCUGGUGUUUCUGUAGAUCAGGUUCGAACAUACGUUACCUGAUCUUUCUUAUCACAACGGGUUUUAGUUAGUGUUGGGAUUUUGUUUAGUAAUCACUGUGGUGCAGGACGCCUGAGGCGUGGGAACGUGGUCUGCUUCAACAUUUGCGGCACACUUAUGAUUAAUUUACUAGCGCGGAAACAUUGUUUCCACUGUAGAUUGUAUCUUAUUGCAUGUGGUUAGCUAUGUAUCCGUCUGAUCUUUGUCUGUAUCUUUCAGAGCCGUUUGAACGGACUCCCAUCUUAACUCACGUGGAUGGACGUCAGAAGUCCUAUGCGCUGCGUCCACUCAAGAGUGUUGUGGCCUCAGAGGGUGAAGGGACAGUUGCUUGGUCUGCCAACCUGGGUGUGAUCACAUGA
rnacentral:lncRNA from 1 species